rnacentral:rRNA from 1 species
AACGAACGCUGGCGGCAUGCCUAACACAUGCAAGUCGAACGAGACCUUCGGGUCUUGUGGCGCACGGGUGCGUAACGCGUGGGAACCUGCCCUUAGGUUCGGAAUAACUCCCCGACAGGGGUGCUAAUACCGGAUAAUGUCUUCGGACCAAAGAUUUAUCGCCUUUGGAUGGGCCCGCGUUGGAUUAGCUAGUUGGUAGGGUAAAAGCUUACCAAGGGAACGAUCCAUAGCUGGUCCGAGAGGGUGAUCAGCCACACUGGGACUGAGACACGGCCCAGACUCCUACGGGAGGCAGCAGGAGGGAAUCUUCCGCGAUGGGGCAAUGCCUGAUGGAGCAACGCAGCGUGAGUGAUGAACGUCUUCGGAUCGUGAAACUCUGUGAUUAGGGAAGAACAAAUGUGUAAGUAACGAGGCACGUCGGGACGGUACCUAAGCAGAAAGCCACGGCUAACUACGUG